CGGCUGUUUCUGGGAGAACUGCCCUCCUCCUCCCCCAACUAUUUUUUUCUUUCCAUUUUCUUUUUCUGCUGGGGAGAAGGGUUUCAUGACUGUGUGUAGCCAAUUAGAUUUGAAAGCUGAGAGCUCUGUUGCACUAUGCCAGGAACUGCUGGAGUGAGCAAGAGAGCCCAUGGGCUUGGAAUGCCUGGCACGGAAGCGAAUCUCCCGACGUGGCCGCUCCCAGGAUGGGGGGAAGGAAAGUGCACAGCUAAAUGAAUGAAAAGAUAUUAAGUAGUGGUAGGUACAGUGAUGGAAAAAGCCAGCCUGAGUGAUGUGAAAGAAAUUGGAGGGCUUCUCUGAGGAGGUGACCUUCGAGCUGAGCCCGGGUAAGAAGGAACUGCCUGUGCAGAGAUUUUUGGGAAGAGCACCCCGGGUAGAGAGAAC
rnacentral:lncRNA from 1 species